GUUUGUUUGAAGUUAUAAAGAAUUUGACCUGCCCCCUGAUUAACUAUUAAAGGGCCGCAGUAUUAUAACUGUGCAAAGGUAGCAUAAUCAUUAGGUUUUUAAUUGAAAUCUCGUAUGAAUGGUUGGACAAAAGAAAGACUCUCUUUAUAUUAAGUUUUGAAUUUAACUUUUAAGUGAAAAGGCUUAAAUAUUCUAAAGGGACGAUAAGACCCUAUAAAACUUUACACUGUCAUUAAUUUUGAUUGAAUUUAUAAAAUAAGAAUUUUAUUUGAUCAUCUGUUAUGUUGGGGAGACACAAGUAAAAUAUUUUUUUAACUGCUUGAUAGUUAUACAAUUAUUAGUGAGUAAGUAGAAGAUCCUUUUUAAGAUUAGUAGAUUAAGUUACUUUAGGGAUAACAGUGUAAUUUCUUUUGAGAGUUCUUAUCGAAAAAGAAGGUUGCAACCUCGAUGUUGAAUUAAAAUAUCUAUAUAAUGGAGAGGUUAUAUAAGAAGGUCUGUUCGACCUUGAAAUUUUUACAUGAUUUGAGUUCAAACCGGUGUGAG
rnacentral:rRNA from 1 species